rnacentral:rRNA from 1 species
GGGGCAACCUGGUGGCGAGUGGCGAACGGGUGAGUAAUAUAUCGGAACGUACCCUGGAGUGGGGGAUAACGUAGCGAAAGUUACGCUAAUACCGCAUACGAUCUAAGGAUGAAAGUGGGGGCUUCGCAAGAACCUCAUGCUCCUGGAGCGGCCGAUAUCUGAUUAGCUAGUUGGUGGGGUAAAGGCUCACCAAGGCUUCGAUCAGUAGCUGGUCUGAGAGGACGACCAGCCACACUGGAACUGAGACACGGUCCAGACUCCUACGGGAGGCAGCAGUGGGGAAUUUUGGACAAUGGGCGCAAGCCUGAUCCAGCAAUGCCGCGUGAGUGAAGAAGGCCUUCGGGUUGUAAAGCUCUUUUGUCAGGGAAGAAACGGUGAGGGCUAAUAUCCCUUGCUAAUGACGGUACCUGAAGAAUAAGCACCGGCUAACUACGUGCCAGCAGCCGCGGUAAUACGUAGGGUGCAAGCGUUAAUCGGAAUUACUGGGCGUAAAGCGUGCGCAGGCGGUUUUGUAAGUUUGUCGUGAAAGCCCCGGGCUCAACCUGGGAAUUGCGAUGAAGACUGCAAGGCUUGAAUCUGGCAGAGGGGGGUAGAAUUCCACGUGUAGCAGUGAA